CCUGGGUAGAGAUAUUGUCACGCAAGAAAGCCCUUCGGAUCCUUGGUUGCACAGCAGAUUGUGGGAUGCUGAUGAUAUAUUACAUGUAUUGCAGAAUCCCAGGGAAGAAUGCAGUCAUGUCGAAGGCAUCAUGCUUAACUCGUAUUCUACUAUGAAGAGUUUGAGGACUGAUGCUUUGAGUAAAAUGCCAAAUCUUAGGCUGCUUCAAAUCCAUCACGCUGCAGUGGAAGGUCAUUUUUUGAAACUUCCCAAGGAAAUGAAGUGGUUGGAACUUACAUGGUGUAGAUUGCUGUCUUUAGAAGAAGCUGUUCACGUUGGAGUACUAGGGAUGACUAAGGGUCCUUCAUCUCAGCAACUGUGAGAGCCUCACUUCAACGCCUGAUUUUUCUGGUAUCCCAAGCUUGGUAAGACUGACUCUUGAUGGCUAUGUUAAGUUGAUGGAAGUCCAUGUUUCUAUCAAGCAUCUUAAAUUACUGAAGUUCUGGAGCAUGAGAUCCUGUGCUUCCCUGAAGGAACUGCCAGCAGAAGUCUCUGCAUUGAGCUCUCUGGAAAUUCUAAUCCUUUCAUUCUGCUUCUUCCUUGAGACUUUACCAGAAGGAUUGGGAGACAUGAAAGCACUAACAGUGCUUAUCCUUAAAAAUACUCGAGUUAAGGAGCUACCUAAUUCAGUGACACAGCUAAAAAGACUUUCUAAGCUGUCUUUGAAGGAGUGCAAGUUACUGAUAGAAUUGCCAGACCUAAUUGGCAAAUUGGAGUCCUUAAAGGAUCUUAUAAUAGCAGGUACGAGAUUAGAAACCAUACCUAACUCCAUUGGAGAUAUUGGAAAUCUCCAAACACUGGAUGCUACAUCUUGCACGUCACUGUCUGCACUGCCAGAAUCCAUUGGCAGACUGAAAAAAUUAAGGUGGCUGAAGUUAGACCAAACAGGCAUACAGGAGCUGCCUGAUUCUAUUGGGUUCCUGGAGGAACUUGACACAAUGUUCAUGAGUGGUGGAAAACUUAAAGUUCUGCCAUCCUCUUUUGGACGGUUGAGGAAUUUGGUUAGGUUGGAAAUCCCAGGGCCAGUAUUUUCGAAUCGUCCUGAAAACAUGGUGAACUUACAAAAUCUGAUGGUUCUGAACCUAAGCGAAAAUGGGGAAAAUUUCAAUUCUUGGUAUAUAUCUUACCUUGAUUUUGAGAAUUUGCCGUCACUGAAAUCCUUGAUAUUAGAUGGCAAUUACUUCGAUCAACUGCCAUUAAGCAUCGGCAAACUCUCGUGGCUUGAGGAGCUCUCCAUAUGUGGGUGUGAAGGCAUUCAUUAUCUCCCUCAAUUGCCAUCUUCUUUAAAAAGUCUUUCUGCCAGACUUUGUACUCAACUGAAGGCUUUCUGGGACAUGUCGAACUUAAAGCACCUGAGGAAACUGGAUCUAAGCGGAUGCCGUGCACUCUUAAAAAUUUAUGGUCAUCAACAUCUGGAAUCCAUAGAAGAAAUAGAUCUGAGGUGUUGUCUGCAACUUGAACGAGAAUUUAAUAUCAUGUGUCAGAAGGAAGAGGAAGAAUUGCAGUGGUCCUACAUUUCCAAUCCAAAUGAACCUAUCAAACUAAUCAUAGAAUUCCCAGAUCCACACUGCGGGAGAAUGCCAUCUAUAGGUGUUCUUGUUUAUGCCAUGGUGGGUCCGGAAGUAAUCUUUUGAGUCACAACGGAGGGCUGAUGAAUACACGUGCCAAAAUGAAACAACAGAGGGGAUCGGUACUUCUGAAUUUGAGGACCAUUUCUAUGCCAUCAGUAUUGAAAAGGAUGAUGAACUAUUUAAGUAUAUAGGAGAUGUAGGCACCAGCUUACAUGUUCGUCUUGGUUUGCAAGAUCUCAGAUCGCCCGAAAUGAAACAACAGAGGGGAUCGGCACUUCUGAAUUUGAGGACCAUUUCUAUGCCAUCAGUAUUGAAAAGGAUGACGAACUAUUUAAGUGUAUAGGAGAUGUAGGCACCAGCUUACAUGUUCGUCUUAGUUUGCAAGAUCUCAGAUCGAGGCAUAGUGGAAGAACAACGUUCAAGCAAUUGAGACAGUUCUAUAUUGCUAGUAGAUCGUUUUCUGAUUCUGAAUGUGGAGAAGGGAAAUUCUUUUUCUCUUUUAUGAUACCAAAAUCCCCAGGAAGCAUUUCUCAAGUAUAUAUCAGGGAAGUGGUCCUAAGCUUUAAGGAAGGGGACGAAAACAUGACACUGUUAAGGAAUUCCUUUGUCGUGUACCUUAAAGUGAUGGUACAAGGCAUGCUAGUUUUUGAGACCACAAAUUUCUGUGACAAGAUUAAAGAUUCCAAGGAGGACGAUGACUCAAUGUUGGGAUCUCCUCUCAAAUCAACAGCUAGAUCUUGGCAGGUCAAAUUUGGUGGGGAUGAUAAAAUUCACAGGGUUUUGGAGAGGGCACCUGCUGUGCUGCAUGUCUCCACAUGUUUUGAUUUUUGGCGUGACAGACUGGCGCCGGUUAUCCUUCCUAGAUCACAUUGUCAUGUUUAUGAGAUGCUAGGUUCACCGCUGGUGCGUGCUUCACAUCAACCUCCUGUUUGGGCUCAUGUAUCCGUUCAAUAUUCUUCUCUUGACUAUUAUGACGAAGCUGUUCCUGGCAUGAGCAACUAACAGAUCAAAAGGCUUCCACGGCUCACUGCACGUUAGGAGGCAUUGCUUGCUCUCCCUGGGGGGCACAUCAAGCUUCCAGAUCGUGAAAGAAGACAAAUAUGUGGACUGUUGACAUCUCACUACGGGAAAUAACAUCUUCAGUGGCAUCGGAGGACCCCGGUGCCAAUGAAGAACCGUUUUUGUGGCGUGGAGGGCAGACUACCAUUGAUGACUCCGUCUGUGGCGCUUGGUAAAAUAUGCCAUGGCUCUUUGAUGAACGUGACUCCAUGCUAUGCCAUUAAAGACCCGAACCAUAUCCCAACGGCCACCCUGUGCUGUUGGCGACCGAACCAUGGAUGAAAGACUGAUUUUGACGACGGGGCUUCGGUAAUGAAUAGAAGGAUAAAUUUCUCCUUCUCCUUCUUGCCCCAAAACUCCAUUGCGAGGUUCCUUCUAUGAUCCAUCGGCUUCCUUUUGUGCAUAAGGCCCUUUCGUGCAGACCCUCCACCGCGGAGGAGGAGAGUGGACUCUUUUUUUUUGCUGCGGCUCAGAUCGAGUUCGUUUUGUUCUCAUCGAUCGUUCACAACAGGAAAAUGGGAGAAAGGGCUAGACUUGGUAAGACAUCACUACUUUUGUCAAUAAGAGGAAAGGAUGGAGCACCUUCUGCGAAACUGCCCUUGUUCCAAGUUGUUCUCAACCUACCUGGUUAGACAGAAGGUGGGAAGAUAAAAAAUUAGUGGAGAAAGGAGAUGGAGAUGGAGAUGAAGAUGGAAGUAGUAGUAGUAAGAAAAUUAUUUAACGUUUUGUGUAUGUGAUUGUAACAAUCUUUUUCUUAAUUAGCAAUAUAAAAGAAUAUGUUAUUAAUUCAAAAGGCACAUGGUUUUGUAAUGCUGGC